rnacentral:lncRNA from 1 species
CGUGACUGCUAUAGUCAAAAACUCCUUUCCUGAAGAAUGGUGAGAACUCACAGAUGGUGUGUUUUGAUAGAGUCGACCCCACUUUAUCAAUGUGCAGCGGAGAUGAUGGAGAUUGCAGCAUUGCAGUGAAGAAGCUCCUGAGGUACGUCUCUAAGUGACUCCGUCGCUCUGCAAUCACUCGUUCAUCCUUGUUUCCAAAGAGCUUCUUCGGAGGGAAUUCUAAAGUAGCAACCUCUGGGUACUUCAAUUUUAGAGUUCUAUGCAUUUCCCGAAAACGACUGUAUCGCCUGAAUACUGUCCAUGUCUCGUCCAAGACUGUUAUCUUUAUUUCAAACUCAUAGUGUUCAUCCUUU